rnacentral:rRNA from 1 species
UUUAUCGCUGAAAGAUGAGCUCGCGUCUGAUUAGCUAGUUGGCGGGGUAACGGCCCACCAAGGCGACGAUCAGUAGGGGUUCUGAGAGGAAGGUCCCCCACAUUGGAACUGAGACACGGUCCAAACUCCUACGGGAGGCAGCAGUGAGGAAUAUUGGUCAAUGGACGGGAGUCUGAACCAGCCAAGUAGCGUGCAGGACGACGGCCCUAUGGGUUGUAAACUGCUUUUAUAGGGGGAUAAAGUGUGCCACGUGUGGCAUAUUGCAGGUACCCUAUGAAUAAGGACCGGCUAAUUCCGUGCCAGCAGCCGCGGUAAUACGGAAGGUCCGGGCGUUAUCCGGAUUUAUUGGGUUUAAAGGGAGCGUAGGCCGUCUUAUAAGCGUGUUGUGAAAUGUCGUGGCUCAACCUGGGCAUUGCAGCGCGAACUGUGAGACUUGAGUGCGCAGGAAGUAGGCGGAAUUCGUCGUGUAGCGGUGAAAUGCUUAGAUAUGACGAAGAACUCCGAUUGCGAAGGCAGCCUGCUGUAGCGCAACU